CAAGAGCGUAUGUCAAAGUUGUUGCAGUUAAAAAGCUCGUAGUUGAACCUUGGGUUUGGUUGGCCGGUCCGCUUUUUUGCGAGUACUGGAUUCAACCGAGCCUUUCCUUCUGGCUAACCAGUCGUUUCGGCGGCUGGCGAACCAGGAUUUUUACCUUGAGAAAAUUAGAGUGUUCAAAGCAGGCAUUAGCUUGAAUAUAUUAGCAUGGAAUAAUAGAAUAGGACGUUAUGGUUCUAUUUUGUUGGUUUCUAGGACCAUCGUAAUGAUUAAUAGGGACGGUCGGGGGCAUCAGUAUUCAGUUGUCAGAGGUGAAAUUCUUGGAUUUACUGAAGACUAACUACUGCGAAAGCAUUUGCCAAGGACGUUUUCAUUAA
rnacentral:rRNA from 1 species